rnacentral:sRNA from 1 species
AUGUAAAAAGUCACAUCAUUGUAGUUAAAAAGGUUGAGUUAGAUCGCAGAAACGGGUACAUAUAGCCCGCCGCUAUC